GACGAACGCUGGCGGCGUGCUUAACACAUGCAAGUCGAACGGUAAGGCCCUUCGGGGUACACGAGUGGCGAACGGGUGAGUAACACGUGGGUGAUCUGCCCUGCACUUCGGGAUAAGCCUGGGAAACUGGGUCUAAUACCGGAUAGGACCACUGCCUGCAUGGGUGGUGGUGGAAAGCUUUUGCGGUGGGGGAUGGGCUCGCGGCCUAUCAGCUUGUUGGUGAGGUGAUGGCCUACCAAGGCGACGACGGGUAGCCGGCCUGAGAGGGUGACCGGCCACACUGGGACUGAGAUACGGCCCAGACUCCUACGGGAGGCAGCAGUGGGGAAUAUUGCACAAUGGGCGCAAGCCUGAUGCAGCGACGCCGCGUGGGGGAUGACGGCCUUCGGGUUGUAAACCUCUUUCAGCACCGACGAAGCGCAAGUGACGGUAGGUGCAGAAGAAGGACCGGCCAACUACGUGCCAGCCGCCGCCGUAA
rnacentral:rRNA from 1 species